ACAGUUCCUCUUUUUUUCUUUGAGAAUGCCAGCAUUUGACCAAUAACAUAUUUCCUUUUAACUCAUGUUCAUGUACAUAACUUGCACAAAAAAGGAAAACCACAUUCUCUUAAUCUUCUUAUAUUGUUCAAUGUUCAAGUGGUGCUUAAAGUAGUCAAAGCUUGCUUUGAUUGUAAAACUUAUUUAUAGUUUGUAACAUUGCGAAGUCUGGGCCCUCACUCAAACCUCGACUAAAAUUCCGACCCCGAACUCUUUCUAGUCUUAUAAAUCUUUAGAUGAACUUGCAUUUCUCUGACCUCCAACCAUCAUUGAAAAGACUUUGCUGCUUCAAUAAAAAACUCCAUUUUUCUCUACCACCAUUUAUUAUUAACAGAAUGUUACUUACAAGUGAAUUAAUAACUAAAACAAUUACAAUCAACUUCUGGUUAUUUUCAGUCAAAAAACCUUCUACAAAUAAAACCACAAGUCAUCUCCACAGUCCUUCUUAAAAAAUACAGUCCACCAAUACAAACAAACACCACGAUCUACCAGCACAACCACGACUUGGCAAUCCACAAAAAGAAGAGGCUCUCUCCUACGUCAUCUCCCUGCACUUCUUAUACCAUCUAUCUGAAUUAACAUAAUUUUAACAGUAAAAAAAGAAAAGAUUAAUUUCAAACAAAUUGCAAUAAAUAAAUUAUUAAUAUUUUCUUUUAAAUAAAUAUAUUAGCAUAACUUUCAAUAUUUAGAACAAAAACACAACAGCAAUUCAAAAUAAUGACAACAAAAAAUGCAAAUGAGAAUAUGAUGGCGGCACAUAGCGAACAGUUCUGGUAAGCACUCCAAUCCCUUACAUCAUCAUCAUGAUAUCAUGCACAUGACCAGCUGCGAUUUGUUUUCCAUCUCUCUGACACCAUAUUGUGCCAUCACAGCAUGGAUGUUUCCGAUGAAAUCAGUCAAUUGAAUCUGAAUAAUUCCAGAUGAUAAACAACUACUUUAUUACUUAGUCUGCAUUGAUUGAAAUCUAUAUAAUGUUUCCAUGCCAGCAAUUGACCUGUGAAGAGGUUAAUUAGGACCUAUCCUAUUUAUUAUUUUAUUAUGCUCUCAUUAUUUUAUCAUUAUAUUCAUUAUUG
rnacentral:lncRNA from 1 species